rnacentral:rRNA from 1 species
GAUGAACGCUGGCGGCGUGCCUAAUACAUGCAAGUCGAGCGAACAGACGAGGAGCUUGCUCCUCUGACGUUAGCGGCGGACGGGUGAGUAACACGUGGAUAACCUACCUAUAAGACUGGGAUAACUUCGGGAAACCGGAGCUAAUACCGGAUAAUAUAUUGAACCGCAUGGUUCAAUAGUGAAAGACGGUUUUGCUGUCACUUAUAGAUGGAUCCGCGCCGCAUUAGCUAGUUGGUAAGGUAACGGCUUACCAAGGCAACGAUGCGUAGCCGACCUGAGAGGGGAAGCGGCCCCGCGGGACUGGAAAACCGUCCCAGCACCCGCGGGGGGGCACGGGUGGGAAAUCUGCCCGAAGGGGGGAAACGCGGACGGGGAAAGCCCGCGGGAGGCAGAGAGGUUUUGGGGUGGUAAACCGUUUUUUGGAGGGAAAAACAAAUUGUUAAGAACCAAGCACCGUUGUGACGGUACCUAAGAAAAAAGCCCCGGCUAACUACGU